CGGGGGGGGCAAGCGUUGUUCGGAAUUACUGGGCGUAAAGGGCUCGUAGGCGGCCAACUAAGUCGGACGUGAAAUCCCCAGGCUCAACCUGGGAACUGCGUCUGAUACUGGAUGGCUUGAAUCCGGGAGAGGGAUGCAGAAUUCCAGGUGUAGCGGUGAAAUGCGUAGAUAUCUGGAGGAAUACCGGUGGCGAAGGCGGCAUCCUGGACCGGCAUUGACGCUGAGGAGCGAAAGCCAGGGGAGCAAACGGGAUUAGAUACCCCGGUAGUCCUGGCCCUAAACGAUGAAUGCUUGGUGUAACGGGUAUCGAUCCCUGUUGUGCCGAAGCUAACGCAUUAAGCAUUCCGCCUGGGGAGUACGGUCGCAAGGCUG
rnacentral:rRNA from 1 species